rnacentral:lncRNA from 1 species
UACUGGAAAUAUUUGGUUCCUUUUAAUCAGCUAUUGAUGGUAUAAUAAAAUAAUCUCAAGUGAUACCUAAUUAAACAUUUAAUGGUUCAUGAAGGAUAAUCUCAGCACAACAUAUAGCCUAAGUGUCAGGUAAUACCUCUUUGCUUUUUCAAGAAAGGAGGAAUGAAGGCAUGAUCAAAAUUCUGGCUGACAACUUGGACUUGUGUGGGUUACUUAAGGGUCAUUUUGUAGGUAUACUGGCAGAUGGAAUGCUGGAAGCAAACCCACGGUCUUAGAAACAACAGUAUGCUUAAAAAAGAAAGUGAAAAGAUAUACAUUGAGCUCAUAUCUGCAAAACAAAGAAAAAUAUCCACCAAAUAUCACAACAGAUUUUUUUUUAAUUAUUUUCCAACAUUAAGAUUGUUAUUGUAGGGAAACAUUUCUCUCUCUCUCUCUCUCUUUUUGAACACUCAAUUUAAUGUAUUAAAUAAAUUGCAGAGAGAACUAAGUUCUGUGUUCUAUACAAAUUAAAAGUCCCAUGAACAUACUCCCCUCACCCUACCAAAGCUCAAUUUUGCAAUGGUCUCAGCAGAAAAAAAGCAGUUCACAAUUUAAACAGAAUUUGUAGCAUUACAAAAGUUGACAGAACACUUAUCUUUCCAUCAUUUUUUCCCUAACAGCAAAGAUUACAAUGGCAGAAGUGAAUGAUCAGAAUGUAAAAAUAUUUGUGCAAAACUGCAUUAAUUGUUCUUACCAUCUAGUUGUAAAACUCAAACACAAUGGCCAUAAUGAAGAAAAGCAAGGCUGCAAGUUCUAGAUGUCAAACGGGGAUACAUAGUUACUAACCAUGGAAAGGACUGUGCGGCACCACGAGCAGCAGAGCAACAGAUGUGGCAGCCAGGCCAUCUGGAAGCUGGGGAGAGCGCCAGGCCAGCCAUGACAGCCAUCCGUCCACCAGAGACUGCAAACCAAUGCCAGCUGAAAACGCACUUCAAUGUCUUUAUUCUUGAAUUUGUAGGUCACAGAGAAAUGUAUAAGUCCUCUCAAGGAAUGUCUCUUGCAUUGCUGGCAGUCCUUAGAAGAGCUGAAUCAUGGACUCUCUGGAUUUACCCACACCAAUCCAUUUAACUGGAAAACAUAACGAGGAAAGAACAUCAGGUCCCUGAGGGCGGGCAGCCCUGCUAGGUCAGAACUAGGCUCCUAACUCUCCUCCACUUUAAGAGUAAGGUUGUAUUUAAAAAAUAAAGUAUUAAGUUUUCCCAGAACUGAGCGAUUGACAUGAAAAAUUUAAAGUUAAUAUUAUUUCUUAAAGUGCAAUGAAUACUGAAUAUCUUUCAUCUCUAUAGCAAAGUAGAACUAUAGGUAUAAUUUUGUUAGAUAAUUUAGUAUAUAACAGAAACCUUUUACAAUGAAUUAGCUAGUAUCCAUUGAUGUAAAUGUUGAGAAUCAAAGGAAUGGGUUUCUGGAGCAUUGGUUCAGUGGUUGCUGCUGCUCCUGC